CCCUUAGAUGUCCGGGGCCGCACGCGCGCUACACUGAAGGAAUCAGCGUGGCUUUCUCCCUGACCCGAAAGGGUUGGGAAACCCGUUGAACCCCAUUCGUGAUGGGGAUCGGGGAUUGCAAUUAUUCCCCAUGAACGAGGAAUUCCCAGUAAGUGCGGGUCAUAAGCUUGCGUUGAUUAAGUCCCUGCCCUUUGUACACACCGCCCGUCGCUACUACCGAUUGGAUGGUUUAGUGAGGCCCUCGGAUCGGCCCCGCCGGGGUCGGCCCACGGCCCUGGCGGAGCGCUGAGAAGACGGUCGAACUUGACUAUCUAGAGGAAGUAAAAGUCGUAACA
rnacentral:rRNA from 1 species